GAGGAGCCUGCGGCAGAUUAGCUAGUUGGUGAGGUAAUGGCUCACCAAGGCUGCGAUCUGUAGCUGGUCUGAGAGGACGGCCAGCCACACUGGCACUGACACACGGGCCAGACUCCUACGGGAGGCAGCAGUGGGGAAUUUUGGGCAACGGGCGAAAGCCUGACCCAGCAACGCCGCGUGAGGGAGGAAAUCCUUCGGGAUGUAAACCUCACAAGUAAGGGAAGAGUGCUGCGGGCUGAAUAAUUCCGCAGUUCGACGGUACCUUACGUAAGCCACGGCUAACUACGUGCCAGCAGCCGCGGUAAUACGUAGGUGGCAAGCGUUGUUCGGAAUUAUUGGGCGUAAAGGGCGCGUAGGCGGCUUGUUAAGUCGGCUGUGAAAGCCCGGGGCUCAACCCCGGAGGGUCGGCCGAUACUGGCGAGCUAGAGUACGGAAGAGGUAGCUGGAAUUCCCGGUGUAGCGGUGAAAUGCGUAGAUAUCGGGAGG
rnacentral:rRNA from 1 species